UUUAUCAGAGAGUUUGAUCCUGGCUCAGGAUGAACGCUGGCGGCGUGCUUAACACAUGCAAGUCGAACGGGAAACCUUUUAUUGAAGCUUCGGCAGAUUUAGCUGGUUUCUAGUGGCGGACGGGUGAGUAACGCGUGGGUAACCUGCCUUAUACAGGGGGAUAACAGUCAGAAAUGACUGCUAAUACCGCAUAAGCGCACAGAGCUGCAUGGCUCAGUGUGAAAAA
rnacentral:rRNA from 1 species